ACUCAAAUGAAUAGACGGGGGCCCGCACAAGCGGCGGAGCAUGCGGAUUAAUUCGAUGCAACGCGAAGAACCUUACCUGGGUUUGACAUACCGAGAAAUCCUCCAGAGAUGGGGGGUCCGUAAGGGUUCGGUACAGGUGGUGCAUGGCUGUCGUCAGCUCGUGUCGUGAGAUGUUGGGUUAAGUCCCGCAACGAGCGCAACCCUCGUCCCAUGUUGCCAGCAGCGGCCUUUGGCCGGCUGGGGACUCAUGGGAGACUGCCGGGGUCAACUCGGAGGAAGGUGGGGAUGACGUCAAGUCAUCAUGCCCCUUAUGUCCAGGGCUUCACGCAUGCUACAAUGGCCGGUACAAAGGGCUGCGAUCCCGUGAGGGGGAGCGAAUCCCAAAAAGCCGGUCUCAGUUCGGAUUGGGGUCUGCAACUCGACCCCAUGAAGUCGGAGUCGCUAGUAAUCGCAGAUCAGCAACGCUGCGGUGAAUACGUUCCCGGGCCUUGUACACACCGCCCGU
rnacentral:rRNA from 1 species